UACAGAGGUCUCAAGCGUUGUUCGGAUUCAUUGGGCGUAAAGGGUGCGUAGGCGGCGCGGUAAGUCGGGUGUGAAAUCUCGGAGCUUAACUCCGAAACUGCAUUCGAUACUGCCGUGCUUGAGGACUGGAGAGGAGACUGGAAUUUACGGUGUAGCGGUGAAAUGCGUAGAUAUCGUAAGGAAGACCAGUGGCGAAGGCGGGUCUCUGGGCCGAUACUGACGCUGAGGCGCGAAAGCGUGGGAGCGAACAGG
rnacentral:rRNA from 1 species